UGUCGCUGUGGGCCGAUGAGUGUGUAUCAAGUCCAUGCAGCUAUGGUGACAUGACUAGAUCCACACUCAUCGGGUCUUCACGCGA
rfam:Trichuris muris Edinburgh genomic scaffold, scaffold66